AAUAUCCAAACUCAUCAAUCUCCAUUAUCAUUGAGAGCCGAGAGUGGGAGACUUAGCACACCCACCCAAACCCACCACCCACUCUCCCCUUUUAUAUAACAUAUUAUUUCUGGCAAGUUCAGUGGUUCCCAUCACAAAAACAAAAGGAUUUCAAAACCCAAUACUGGAUCAUAUACUUAAUAGUUAUAGGUAUAUCCAACCCCACCACCAAUCCCCAACAAAAGACUUUAUAACAAGUUAAGUUAUUCCACCUGUACUAACUUGAUCCAAUCUUGGUUCAGCCUUUCAUUUCAGUUAUAAUGGUAUUUCUGUAGCAACGUAAUCUCUAAGCAAAAGCUGGCUACAGAACAUUGUGCUCUUUUACAAAAUACUCAUGUCAUAAUGGCAGAAUAGAAUGCUUGCAGAAGCCAAUGGACAAAAUAUUAAUACAACAAAAAACUAAUUGUUCAAAAGAGGAUUAGAGAGCCUAACCUGGACUGUGAUUAAUCUUUUAUCACCAUCCAGAGACAACACAGGCUUCUUCUUCUUGUUCAUCCUUCUCAAUAUAUUUUGUUUUUGGUAGACAAAUAGAAUUGGUAAAAAACAAUUUGCAUUCAGCAGGUAAAUGCAAAUUCUUUUAUCACCCUAGGUAAUUAAUAGAAUCCAAUACCCCUCAAAGAUUGUGAUUCCAACUACACUACAAAGCUGCUGCUGGCUUCCUGCAAAUUGCUGGUU
rnacentral:lncRNA from 1 species